rnacentral:rRNA from 1 species
UACGAAGGGGGCUAGCGUUGUUCGGAAUUACUGGGCGUAAAGCGCACGUAGGCGGGUCGUUAAGUCAGGGGUGAAAUCCCAGAGCUCAACUCUGGAACUGCCUUUGAUACUGGCGACCUAGAGUCCGGAAGAGGUUAGUGGAAUUCCCAGUGUAGAGGUGAAAUUCGUAGAUAUUGGGAAGAACACCAGUGGCGAAGGCGGCCAACUGGUCCGGUACUGACGCUGAGGUGCGAAAGCGUGGGAGCAAACAGG